AUUGAACGCUGGCGGCAGGCCUAACACAUGCAAGUCGAACGAGUGGCGGACGGGUGUGUUAUGUCUUGGACACUGCCUGAUGGAGGGGGAUAACUACUGGACACGGUAGCUAAUACCGCAUACCAUCGGAUGUGCCCAGAUGGGAUUAGCUAGUAGGUGGGGUAACGGCUCACCUAGGCGCCGAUCCCUAGCUGGUCUGAGAGGAUGACCAGCCAAACUGGAACAGAAGCACGGUCAGAAAUCCUGCAGGAGGCAGCAGUGGGGAAUAUUGCACAAUGGGCGCAAGCCUGAUGCAGCCAUGCCGCGUGUAUGAAGAAGGCCUUCGGGUUGUAAAGUACUUUCAGCGGGGAGGCGUUAACCGCAGAAGAAGCACCGGCUAACUCCGGGCAAGCAACAGCGGUAAUAC
rnacentral:rRNA from 1 species